AGAGUUUGAUCAUGGCUCAGAAUCAACGCUGGCGGCGUGCCUAACACAUGCAAGUCGCACGAGAAAGGGGAGCAAUCCCUGAGUAAAGUGGCGCACGGGUGAGUAACACGUGAAUGAUCUACCUCCGAGUGGGGAAUAACUGAGAGAAAUCUUAGCUAAUACCGCAUAACACUUACGAGUCAAAGCAGCAAUGCGCUUGGAGAGGAGUUCGCGGCCGAUUAGUUAGUUGGCGGGGUAAUGGCCCACCAAGACGAUGAUCGGUAUCCGGCCUGAGAGGGCGCACGGACACACUGGAACUGAAACACGGUCCAGACUCCUACGGGAGGCAGCAGUGGGGAACUUUGCGCAAUGGGGGAAACCCUGACGCAGCAACGCCGCGUGGAGGAUGAAAUAUCUUGGUAUGUAAACUCCUUUCGAUGGGGAAGAUUAUGACGGUACCCAUAGAAGAAGCCCCGGCUAACUUCGUGCCAGCAGCCGCGGUAAUACGAGGGGGGCAAGCGUUGUUCGGAUUUAUUGGGCGUAAAGGGUGCGUAGGCGGUUUGGCAAGUCUUAUGUGAAAUCUUCGGGCUCAACCCGAAGCCUGCAUAAGAAACUGCCGGGCUUGAGUAUGGGAGAGGUGAGUGGAAUUUCCGGUGUAGCGGUGAAAUGCGUAGAUAUCGGAAGGAACACCUGUGGCGAAAGCGGCUCACUGGACCAUAACUGACGCUGAUGCACGAAAGCUAGGGGAGCAAACAGGAUUAGAUACCCUAGUAGUCC
rnacentral:rRNA from 1 species